UUUGCUUAGGGUCUAAUCCCUUACGGGAAACAGUGCAUGGUGGGUAGUUUGACUGGGGUGGUCGCCUCCUAAAAAGUAACGGAGGCUUGCAAAGGUUCCCUCAGUACGGUUGGUAAUCGUACGUAGAGCGCAUCAGUAUAAGGGAGCUUGACUGUGAGACAGACGCGUCGAGCAGGGGCGAAAGCCGGCUGAAGUGAUCCGGUGGUUUCCGUAUGGAAGGGCCAUCGCUCAAAGGAUAAAAGGUACUCCGGGGAUAACAGGCUGAUCUCCCCCAAGAGCUCAUAUCGACGGGGAGGUUUGGCACCUCGAUGUCGGUUCGUCACAUCCUGGGGCUGGAGAAGGUCCCAAGGGUUCGGCUGUUCGCCGAUUAAAGUGGCACGUGAACUGGGUUCAGAACGUCGCAAGACAGUUCGGUCCCUAUCUGUGGUGGGCGCAAGUAAAUUGAGAGGACAUGACCUUAGUACGAGAGGACCGGGUCGUACGUACCGCUGGUGUAUCAGUUGUGCCGCCAGGUGCAGCGCUGAGUAGCUAUGUACGGACAGGAUAAACGCUGAAAGCAUCUAAGCGUGAAACCUUCCUCAAGAUGAGUUUACUUUUAAGGGUCGUCAGAGACGAUGACGUUGAUAGGCUACAGAUGUAAAGCUGGUGACAGCAAAGUCGAGUAGUACUAAUUGCCCGUACGCUUUAAUUUU
rnacentral:rRNA from 1 species